GCAUUUUCAUUUUAUAAAAGGUAUUUAAAAUAAUUGAUUUAACAUUCUUUAUAAUCACUAUUUCUUUGUCUCAUUUACAAAGCGUCCAAAUAGAACAAAUGUAUUCCUAAGCAUAUGUUUACACGUCAACGCUUUUGUAUGUGUG